rnacentral:lncRNA from 1 species
GGUAUUCUGUUUCUUUUAGGAAAGGUUGAGGCUUUCAUAGCCUGGGUUUUUCUAGGAUGUAGCUUGGCUCAGACUUACAGGGCUCAGAGUGAGCUGUUGUGAUUCUCAGGAAGCUGACUGGUGUUUUAUAAACUCACAGGCAAUAUUCUUUGAAUCUAUGUUUAUGAUUCAAGUUCUAGCAUGAUAUCUUUAGUCACUGGGUAUUUGUAGGAAUAAUGUUGUAUAAGAUGUAGACAGUAAAUAUAGUUAUUCUCUUUCAGAUUCUCAUGCAUAUUCUCCAUUCAGUAAUAUCAUGUAUGCCUAUGAUGUAAUAUGGAUUAAUUAGAGCAGCUUGGCAAUUGCAUAGAAUUUUGGUAUUAUAAAAACAUGAUAUUUGGCAUAUGAUUGGUUUUGCUUAUUCAUAACUCUGCUACUUAUUAUGCUAGGCAGUUAUUUUGAUUUUCUGAAUUUCUGUAAAAGAGGGAGAUAAUUUGGCAGUUAUCCUUCCCUGGUGGGUGGUUUUAUAUCAAAAUUUAAAUGAGAUAUUUAGUGUUUUAUAAGAUCUAUAAUCUUUUGGCAACAAUUUUUAAACUUAGAUUUUCUCUUUAUUUAACAUGUAAUAUGGGGGAGCUACAAGGACCUAAUAUGGAUAAUUUAGGACUAUUGUGUAACAUAAUGCCAUGUUCAUGUUUGUGUUUACAACUCUUUUGGUGCUAAAUGGAGGUCAAGUCAUGUCACUACAAUGUGAUGAAUUUAUAGUUAUUUGAAUAUUUUGCAUUGAAGGCAAAGGGAAGAAUUUCUAAGAAAAGUUCAUUUGAAUUUACAGUCUUUAAAACUGCUGUUUCCUCAUUUUCCUUUGGUCUGAUGACAGAAUUAGAAAUGUUUUCAGCAAUACUUAAGAAAUUGGAAACUGAGAUCAGAUACACAUUCUCAUUUUAAAAUGUCAUUGAGAAUGAGCUAACAACCUAAAUAGAUUUUAGUGGAAUAAAAUGAUAACUUUAUAAGCAAGUAACAUGUUUAUGUUGUUAUCAAUUGCACUUAAUGGAAACUUUAUUCACACCACUUUGAACAAUUGAUGGUUGAUGUAUAUGAGAACUUUGAAACUUUCCUGCCAAGGACCAGCCUCAGCUUGGAGAAGGGCUCUGAGGAAGGGGUGUUUGGGAGCAGCAAAAGAACAACUAGAAGUCAAAUUGUGGGUACAAGCUGACAGUCUGUGUUCUGAUUUCUUAAGAUCACCAGACAGCUUAGCUCUUGCAAACCAAAGCCCAGUCUUUUAUUUAUAUAUAAUUCUAUUGCCCAUCCAAGAUUCCCCUUUGAUUAUAUCACCAACCAGCAUUUUUUGACCUUAGCCCCUUCACUGCUGGGAAAAGACAUACUUCUUAACAUUGCAAAUUAAUUCAGAGAUCUGACCGCCUUUGUAAGCACAGACAAUAAGCUGGCUGGAUGAGAUCAGGCUCUGAGAUCACUGCUCCCACCAGAUCUGGGCCUAGAUUCUCUCUGUUCCAGGCUGACCUUGAAUCAGGAAUCUGUCUGCCUUUGUAUCUUUCUGACAAGCUCCCUCAUAGUACAGCAGCCUCCGUUCUUUUAGGUCCAUGAAGCCCCUCAUAUAAUUCAUAUUGUGUCCUUGUAUUUUACAUAGUUGAGAAGUUAUAUAAUUUUGAACUCACAUUUUCAGAGUUUUUCCCCACAGCCUUAAGGGCUGUCCUGAAGCUCACAGAGGCCUACCAUUUUACUGAGACAUUAGAUACAUCUUUACCUCCUGGACACGUGCUGCUUUUAAUUAUCAUGGAGUCCUUUACCUUGGCAGGGAGAACAUUCCUUGAUAAUCUUGGCAGGGUAAUAUUUCUAAAAAGAGGAACAUAAAGUAACACACACACACACACACACACACACGUCUUAUCUUGUGCCCAGCAGCUCUCAACACUUGUAGAGGUCCG